rnacentral:lncRNA from 7 species
CCUCAGUGUGAGGGGGGUGUGGUGCGUGUUGGUGCUGUGUGCGUGUUCACUGUCUAUGAUGAGCCGAAGAGAGAAGAGCUCCGUCACGGCAGGGCAGUAGCAGCUUGGGUUGGGCUGCUUUACCGUUAUAAGUCACGCUUAGCAUCCUCUAGGCUCGGAGGGUGCGGGUCAGCAGUGUCCUGUGUGAGAAGCCUCAGGCCUUCCCUGUGCUGAGGGCAGUGCUGUGCUUCCCAGAGCCGUGGCUUUUUCUUCAAAGGGGGCCUUCUGUGGACCUGGCUUUGCAGCCUGGGGAGGAUGGGGCCCACUGAGCUCUGUGGGUCUCUGAGGUUUGCUGUUCUAAAAUGGAAACCCGGAGAUCAUUUUGAGAUACAUUCAACUGGUAGUGUGUGUAAGUCAGGGAGCGGCCCUCUGGUGUUAUGUGGUACACAGCUGGGAGGAGGUUUGCUUCUGUGAGUAAGCUGUGACUGUUCUAAGGUUUGUGGAACAUACAGAUUGUGGAGGCUGUCAGUUCCACAGUGCACCCAGGUGUGGGAAUUCCUGAUAUAAGAGAGUUUGCUCACCCAGCAUUGCCACAUGUGAGGUGCUGCCCCAGCACGCUGUGUUCCCCACACACAGCUGGAGUCCGUUACAGGGUCAUGGCCUGCUGGGCUGACCCAAGGAAAUGUUCCACACGAAGUAUCCUGGCUAUUAGGUGCGCAAGGGACUUCUAAUUCCUUCCUCCUACUCCAGUGCUGCCAAGCGGAAGAACUGCUGUGGUGCUAACUUGCUGCUCUGACUUCUGAGCACGACCUCAGCCCUGGCUGUGGGAUGCUACCAAUGUUGUGAAAUUGUUGAGUUUUUACAGGUUUAAAGGCCAGAUGACCAUAGGGCUUUUAUGUUACCAACUUGCCCAGCACAACUGGACUGGAAUAAGCUGGAUAUGUGCUUGAAGGACACAGCUUCACCUCCUGACAAGAUGCUGAGCAAUCCUCCUGGAGCGAGUAAAGAAAUAACCCAUGCAGCUGAGACACCGGAUGCAGGGAUCAGUUUUUCAGUCUGCAGCAGGAGAUCCAGCCCACUGGACACAGCAUGUUGGAGCCCAGUCUGCUGUCAGCCCAAUUGUCAGUUGGAUGCCAAAGGAGGUGGACUGGAUACACUUUGGGUCACAGCUUUCUGCAUUCUUGAUCACAAGUCAGCAGAGUCAUGAGUCUUAAGACAACUGCUGUUCUUCUUAGGCACUCAGCAGACCUUAAUAAAGUGCUCUUAUGCACUCGUAUACAAAUACAUGCACACACACGUGCAUGUUGAAUGAUGGCUGAAUCAUCACUAUUGACUGGUAGAGAAGAAGACAUGGACAUAGAACUGACACUUCUGUGUAGAUGAAACAGUAAUCUGCGAUUUCUACCAAAGAGAUGUGGAGGUAUUUCUGGUAGGGAAGAACUGGCACCCCCUGUUUGAAGGGCUUUGAUGGCGGGGGUAUUAGUGACACUCACUUUCUGUAUACUGUUGCCUUGUUAACUCAAAUGAGUGUUUUGUGUUACUUAAAGCUUUUUUAAAUUGUUCUGCUGCUGGUUAGAUAUGUCAAUGCAUACAGUUCAGUAUAGUUUGGCUACUGAAGGAGAAUGCACUGGAAUAGGGAUAACAAAUUGCUCUAACAACUGCAUAGCAAGUCACUCCCACCUGGCAUUUACUGCAGCCAACAGUUUCCAAGUUUAGUGUCUCCUGGCCAUUUGUCUUCCCAGACUUGAAUACUGACCUGUUCUGCAAGGCAAAAUGUUUACAAGAAGGUAGAGCUAAGUCAGAGUCCUCUCUGUGGGUAGCUCUUCUGUCCCGCCCUCAGCUUGCCAUUCUUCAGGUCUGAUUUGAAUCUUGUAGUUGAAUGUAGGGACAACAUGCUGCUUACAGUGAACAAACAGGAACAGGAUCUGGGGCCCUGUUGGAAGGGACACAGAAGUCAUAGUGGAUACCACGUUGAAUAUAAACCAUCUGUGGUGUGCUCAUGAUGAAGCUAACUGCUUCCUGGGCUAAAUCAAGAGUAUGGUCAGUAGAAGUGGGGUGGUUAU